rnacentral:rRNA from 1 species
CUGGAACGCGCCCCAGGCGCACCCAGAAACCCUUUGUGAACUUAUACCUUACUGUUGCCUCGGCGCAUGCCGGCCCCCCUGGGGGCCCCUCCUUCUGGAGGAACAGGCACGCCGGCGGCCAACCCAACUCUUGUUUUUACACUGAAACUCUGAGCACAAAACAUAAAUGAAUCAAAACUUUCAACAACGGAUCUCUUGGUUCUGGCAUCGAUGAAGAACGCAGCGAAAUGCGAUAAGUAAUGUGAAUUGCAGAAUUCAGUGAAUCAUCGAAUCUUUGAACGCACAUUGCGCCCUCUGGUAUUCCGGAGGGCAUGCCUGUUCGAGCGUCAUUUCAACCCUCAAGCCUGGCUUGGUGAUGGGGCACUGCUUCUUACCCGAGAAGCAGGCCCUGAAAUUCAGUGGCGAGCUCGCCAGGACCCCGAGCGCAGUAGUUAAACCCUCGCUCUGGAAGGCCCUGGCGGUGCCCUGCCGUUAAACCCCCAACUUCUGAAAAU